GGGGACGUUUUGGAUUCGACAGGGGUCCCCAGAGCUUAUUAAGCGUGUCGGAGGGUUGUCUUCGUUAUCAACACACUCAGUUUAUAAUAACUGGCAAAACAAACAAUAAUUUAGCAGUAGCUGCGUAAUAGCACUCUGCAUCGCCUAACAGUAUCGCCUAUGUACUGUUAACGCGAUUCAACUUUAGUAGGAUACGCUAGACACUGCUGUUCGAAGUCUGUCUAGAAGAGAUUAAGCGGACUAGCAUGGUGUUGGUUGUCUAUUUCCUAUCAUCAUGUGAAAUUGAUUAAUAGACUACACACGUAGAAAGAUUUGUAUCAGGAUCCUUGGACGCGGGUUCAAAUCCCGCCGUCUCCAUAC
rfam:Staphylococcus carnosus subsp. carnosus TM300 complete genome